rnacentral:rRNA from 1 species
UACGUAGGGUGCAAGCGUUGUCCGGAAUUAUUGGGCGUAAAGAGCUCGUAGGCGGUCUGUCGCGUCUGCUGUGAAAACUCAGGGCUUAACCCUGAGCUUGCAGUGGGUACGGGCAGACUAGAGUGCGGUAGGGGAGACUGGAAUUCCUGGUGUAGCGGUGAAAUGCGUAGAUAUCUGGAGGAACACCGGUGGCGAAGGCGGCAUCCUGGACCGGCAUUGACGCUGAGGCGCGAAAGCCAGGGGAGCAAACGGG